GAAUCUUAGACAAUGGGGGAAACCCUGAUCUAGCCAUGCCGCGUGAGUGACGAAGGCCUUAGGGUCGUAAAGCUCUUUCAGCUGUGAAGAUAAUGACGGUAGCAGCAGAAGAAACCCCGGCUAACCCCGUGCCAGCAGCCGCGGUAAUACGGAGGGGGUUAGCGUUGUUCGGAAUUACUGGGCGUAAAGCGCGCGUAGGCGGACUAUUAAGUCAGAGGUGAAAUCCCAGGGCUCAACCCUGGAACUGCCUUUGAUACUGGUAGUCUUGAGUUCGAGAGAGGUGAGUGGAAUUCCGAGUGUAGAGGUGAAAUUCGUAGAUAUUCGGAGGAACACCAGUGGCGAAGGCGGCUCACUGGCUCGAUACUGACGCUGAGGUGCGAAAGCGUGGGGAGCAAACAGG
rnacentral:rRNA from 1 species